rnacentral:pre_miRNA from 1 species
AGCUUUCUGUAUCCGUGCUGAGAUUUCGCCACACACCAGACCACAGUGGCUGAUGAGACUUCCCAGAAAAGUAAAUCG